rnacentral:rRNA from 1 species
AUUGAACGCUGGCGGCAGGCCUAACACAUGCAAGUCGAGCGGCAGCGGGAAAGUAGCUUGCUACUUUUGCCGGCGAGCGGCGGACGGGUGAGUAAUGCCUGGGAAAUUGCCCAGUCGAGGGGGAUAACAGUUGGAAACGACUGCUAAUACCGCAUACGCCCUACGGGGGAAAGCAGGGGACCUUCGGGCCUUGCGCGAUUGGAUAUGCCCAGGUGGGAUUAGCUAGUUGGUGAGGUAAUGGCUCACCAAGGCGACGAUCCCUAGCUGGUCUGAGAGGAUGAUCAGCCACACUGGAACUGAGACAAGGUCCAGACUCCUACGGGAGGAAGCAGUGGGGAAUAUUGCACAAUGGGGGAAACCCUGAUGCAGCCAUGCCGCGUGUGUGAAGAAGGCCUUCGGGUUGUAAAGCACUUUCAGCGAGGAGGAAAGGUUGAUGCCUAAUACGUAUCAACUGUGACGUUACUCGCAGAAGAAGCACCGGCUAACUCCGUGCCAGCCGCCGCAGUAAUAC